rnacentral:rRNA from 1 species
GAUGAACGCUGCCAGAAUGCUUAACACAUGCAAGUCAACUGUGGCGGACGGGUGAGUAACGCGUAAAGAACUUGCCUCACAGCUAGGGACAACCUUUGGAAACGAAUGCUAAUACCUGAUACUGUGAGAGAGCUUUGCGUCCCAUUAGCUAGUUGGAGAGGUAACGGCUCACCAAGGCGAUGAUGGGUAGCCGGCCUGAGAGGGUGAUCGGCCACACGGGGACUGGGACAAGGCCCUUACUCAUACGGGAGGCAGCAGUGGGGAAUAUUGGACAAUGGACCAAAGUCUGAUCCAGCAAUUCUGUGUGCACGAUGAAGUUUUCGGAAUGUAAAGUGAUUUCAGUUGGGAAGCGGUACCAACAGAAGAAGUGACGGCUAAAUACGUGCCAGCAGCCGCGGUAAUAC